rnacentral:rRNA from 1 species
GAUGAACGCUAGCGACAGGCCUAACACAUGCAAGUCGAGGGGCAGCGGGGAGGUAGCAAUACCUUUGCCGGCGACCGGCGCACGGGUGAGUAACACGUAUGCAAUCCACCUGUAACAGGGGGAUAACCCGGAGAAAUCCGGACUAAUACCCCAUAAUAUUCGGAGAGGCAUCUCUCCGGGUUGAAAACUCCGGUGGUUAUAGAUGGACAUGCGUUGUAUUAGCUAGUUGGUGAGGUAACGGCUCACCAAGGCAACGAUACAUAGGGGGACUGAGAGGUUAACCCCCCANACUGGUACUGAGACACGGACCAGACUCCUACGGGAGGCAGCAGUGAGGAAUAUUGGUCAAUGGACGCAAGUCUGAACCAGCCAUGCCGCGUGCAGGAAGACGGCUCUAUGAGUUGUAAACUGCUUUUGUACGAGGGUAAACUCACCUACGUGUAGGUGACUGAAAGUAUCGUACGAAUAAGGAUCGGCUAACUCCGUG